ACAGAAAAUCCUUGCUGUGCCAAGAAGGAAAAGACCAUGGAUCUACUAGCUGCAGAUUUCAGCAGUAAUGCCAAGGGGGCAAGAAGUGACCAGCAGAACAAUUAGGCCAUGGCAACAGAAGCCAACUACAACCCAUGUUCCAAUCUAUGACCUCCCUCUCCUGCUGGUACAAGGACGUGGUGAGCUAUCUCACACAUUCAUUCACCCAGAGAUGAUAUUUGAGACAUUUAACAAUGGCAUGACACAGAAUGUGGCUGUAGCAUCAUUUUUGGAAGCCAGAAUGGUAAUACUGAAAAAUCACUGCUUGUCUCAAGAUCCAACUUCUGGAAAUCUCAACCAUUCUGAAUACAGCCAUCAUUCUUAAAAUUGAAGAGAACUGUUUUACAAGAUCUUGACUUAUAAAGAAAGCAAGUUUAUUAAGGUAAAAAAAUUGGUGCUACUCUUACCUUGAGAACUGUAUUUAAGAAGCAGAACAAUGUAUUAAAGGAAUCUGGCAAUGAGAGAAGCCACAAGAGCAUUGAAAAAGACCAGCAUCCUCAGGACUAGCCUGAUGAUCAUGGCUCACCAAUUUACUUGCAAGGGCAAGAGCUGCUAAUCAACUGACUAAUGAGGAUUGACUUCUACAAUUGAUGAGCAUGGAAUUGGAUGUGCCUAAAUCAACAGAAGAGGGUUUUUGAUGUCAUCACACUGUAGCCCCAGAAGACAGAACUCUCAAAGGUGUCAAUGGGCAGAAUUUGUAGAUGACAUACAGCAUCCAAUGGAUUACUCCUAUUCAGUGUUCCUUAGAGCAAAGGAUGCAAUGUCAAGCAAGUUGUGAUACCUCAACUAUCUACAAUUUAACACCAAUGAAAGAACACUGUUUGGAGAAAUGAGAAAGAUUAUCAUCAGUGUCUUUCAGAAGUCAUCAAAGGAAGAAAAGGACAAAAGAGAGGAGAAAGCAGAAAGGAAGAACCAGCUCAGGGCAGGGUGUGCUGGGGCAGCAAAUGUCAGAGGAUGCAGAAAGAGGUCAAGUGUAUCACUCCUUGGAACCUAUUGGUUAGUUUUAAGUUGACCAAAGCUACAAGAGGCCCAAUAUCCCUGAGUUGGAAGCUCUUUGUGGGCUAACAUCUUAAUUUUCUAAUGCAGAAUUUCAAACUGAUUGGAUUGCUCUGGAGUCUGGGAAGUUCAAGAGCAUGGCACCAGCAUCUGGCAAGGGCUUUCAUGCUGCAUCAUCUCGUGGAGGAAAAUAAAGGGCAAGAGAGUGUGAGAGAGCAAGAGAGCAAGAAAAGGAAAGGGGGUCAAGCUCACCCUUUUAUCGCAAAAACACUCUAUCGAUAACAGCAUUGAUCCAUUCAUGAGGGAAGACCCCUCAUGACCUAGUCACCUCUUAAAGGUCCAACCUUUCAACACUGGUUGCAGUGGGGAUUAAGUUUCAACACAUGCUUUUUCGGGUGGCAUAAUUAAACCAUAACACACUUGUUAUUAGGUCAGGAGAUUUCCCAAGGUCAGAACAGUGACAGAGCUAAGCCCUGAACUUUUGUGACCUUCAAACCAGGAUUGUUUCCACAAUUUGUCAUACAAGGAUAUUUAGAACCUACUUUAGAAGUGGAGGAAAUAAUAAAAUAAUUUGAAGAUGGAGUACCCAAAAGCUGUGCCAGACAAGUCCAUUGAAACAGUCCUUCACCUAAAUUUGAAUUUAAAAAAUUGUUUUUGCAUUGUGUGAUUUGGUAAUAUGGGGAGUAUUGGUGUGUUUAAAAUUUUUUUCCAUUUAUCAAUUCUUAUAUAGUCUCAGUUGAAAUUAAAGACAUGAUAAUUUAAUC